CUCACAGAGUGGUCUCCCUGGGAAGGGCAGGGAGGUCCCAUCCAGGAAAGCAGCAGACAAACUGAAAAGAGAGAACAUUUCACCUGUUUACAAUCAUCACCUCCAGGUCCUUCCAAGACUCCACAACCAAGACAGCAGCCUGUCAGGGCCUCACUGUUCCCUGCACACUUAUUCUCUUCCCGAGCCACCCCCACUUUCUGCUCCCCAACCUCUAAUCAGGCAGAUCAGUGCCCAACUCAAACGGGAUCUACCUUGGGUGCAGUCAGAAGUUCUGGAGACCAACUCCUUUCUCUGAGAAAUCGACUUUCUGUCUGGCUUGAGACAAACCCGAGUCAAGUAAGCUAAACGGUCAGAGAAGAAAAUCAGUGACCUAGCCCUUAUCAGGUUUCUGAAGACACAAAGGUGCUGUGAAGGGCAAAUUGGGUCCCAAGAUCUGCCAGGAGGGCCCAGGAGGUGGCCAAAAAGACGUGGCCCAGACUAGCAAAAGCACAGUAAGCGCAAGAGGGGCCUCGGCUGGUAUGGGGAGGAGAGGGCCCGGCUACGGGAGGCCGCUGAUUACACACUUUCUGUCAGUGUACGUUUUCCAGUACAUCAACUUCCUUCCACCUUCAAAUUAAUUGGGAUGAUAGUGUUCCAUGUCAGAGUGACAAAAAUUUAAUCUUCCACACAAAUUCAAAUCGCAGUUUCUUUAAAAAUUUGCAAGGGAUCAAAAACGUUCAUGUCAACAUUCUCUGGGGUGGAAAACAGAGUAUGAACUACAAAUUUGUCUUUAAGUUUCCCUCGAAGGGUGGAAAAUUCCCAUUGCCGCCUCAGAAAUCCUAGAGAGCCCCGGAGUUACCAUACGUCCUGAGCAUCCUUUUGUUUCCUCCGAUUUUCGCCUGAUGAAAGACACAGCUGAGUCAAGCCAGAAGAAUAUUCUUCCUUUCCUUCUUUCGAACUUCUGAGUUGGCUAAUGGAGUCCAGCGAUGACGCCCGCCCUUGACCGAGUCGGAGAAGACAUGAAAGCACAACAGUUGGAGAUAUAUAAUUUUAAGUCGGCAAAGAGAAGACAAAGUUCCGGCUGGAAUCAUGAAACACAGCAGCGUAGAGGGACCCCUUAUUCCAGGUCGCCCGCCUGGGUCGCCGGUAGAAUUCAUCGCCUGGAGGGUCCCAGAUUGUCAGACGGGUCUCCCUUCUCUCUGCACUCUGUAGCAGCCCUAACGGCGGCUGGGAGACGGUUUUCGGAUUCAUAAGCGCCUGAGACACUGAGUAUUUCCUUAGGGCGCCAAAAGCAGAGAGCAAGUGCCCCGCAGGCUGUAAAAGUCUUGGAAAUUGGGGGCCGCACCAGUUUUAUGCCCAUGAAAGCGGGGCCUGGUUCCACGUGGGCAGUACUUGCCCGCUUAAACACAGAGGAAUCGGCGGCCAGAGAGCGAGGCCUCAGAGCUCCCGUAGCUUUUAGAAAGACUACACUUACGUUAAUUUUGUGGUAAGUUCCAAGAUCUACGGCUGAACAGUUCAGCACCACAGGCUGGACUCAAAGGAGAAUAUAUAUUGCAAAUCUCAAGUCCUGAUGGUGCAAUGGGAAUUACAGAGCCUAGUAUAUAGUACACGGCACAUGAGAAAUUUUACUUUUGUUUAUGUCCACAUUUGUGGGAAGGGGUGAAGGAAGCAAAGCAAAAUAACAAGACAGAAACGUAAGAGGAUGCAAAAAGUUUGCUCAGUGUUGUUUGUGAUCCUUGUAUUCAUGGGCCUUAGAGUAAAUUUCUCCUCCCACAGUCCAGCAAUAUCCCAGGACAUUUAUAAUCCCAAAAUGCAGGUGGGGAGGGAGAUCCAGAGAACUCACUGGCCUGAGGCUACAAUGGAAGAUACACUUUCUGCCGCAUUCAUCCACAUGAUGCCACUGCUAGGAGAGGGAGCUAUCCUGAGACAGCUCAAGACCCCUGAGCAGUUCUGGAGGCUGAGAACUGCCAAGGACAUGGUGCCAGCCCAUCAGGUGUCUGGUAAGAGUCCUCUUCUGGGUUGCAGACUGCUGACAUCUCACAUGGUGGAAGGGCAAGCAAGAUCCCUGGUGCCUCUUUUAUAAAGGCCCACCUGGACCCACUGGGAACUCCAUGCCCACCGAUUUCAAACUGUACAAAAUAGAGGGUGAGACAACUCAUAAACAGCCUCGAGCAGGAACCUCAGACUGCUGAGCGGAAGAAAGUGGAGAACAGCUACACCUGGAAGUUUGAGGACCUGGGCCAUCAUUAGCUCAUGAUGUCUUGGCUGCUUGAGGAGGACAGUCUGUACCGGCCUCUUGUCCCCUGAGGAAGCUACAGGCUGGAAGAAGUUACAUUCCCGGUUUAUUUGAAAUCUGAAACUUCAGCUACUCUAAAUUCUGCCUGAGGCCUGUGGAAGAAAAUUGUGAAUGUCAGCUCUUGAGAGAAGCCUCCUUUGACCAAUAUAAUCAAAAUACCCCGUUCCCGCCCAGCAGUUCCCAUCUUUCCUAUUUUAUUUGCUCUCUUGCCCAGGAUGAUGCCUCAGAGCAUGUCAGAGGCUUCUGUAGCUGUAAAGAAGAGCUAAGCUCAAGUACUGUCUCAUAGACCAGACUCCUCCAUGUGUGGCUUCUGAAACAAUCCACUAGCUAAUGGAGAGGACUAAUGGAGAGAGCCAGCAAAGAGCACUAUGGGCUUCUAAGAGUGGCCCUGGAACUCCUGGCCCACAGGUUGCACCUCCUCAUUCCAUCUUAGCUGCGAGUUAAAUACUAUCUGGCUUUUGUGACACUUUAGGCUAAUGUGCUUGAAGCAUCUCAUCCACCCCUCCUCAGUCCCCAAGAAUCUGAAUAGGCAUUGCCACGGUUCAGUAAUCAAA
rnacentral:lncRNA from 1 species